rnacentral:lncRNA from 1 species
AGUGUCAGAGCCUUUACGUGGACCUUCUCAUGAAAAAGGAAACAGAAUAGUCAAUGGAAAAGGAAAAGGGCCUCCUGCAAAACAUCCUUCCUUGAAGCCUAGCACUGAAGUGGAAGAUCCUGCUGUGAAAGGAGCAGUACAAAGAAAGAAUGUACAGACAUUGAGAGCAGUGUUGAUUUUUGCAAUAUUAAUGGGAACCACUUAGCAUUUGCCUUGUGGUGUCUCCUCAGCUGUAUUCACAUAUUCCAUCACCUUUUCUUAAUGGAUAAUCAUGCACUA